AGGAAGUGAAUGAAUGUCCACUUUGGGUGCCCUUUUCUUACGUAAAGUUUCAUCAAAAGAAAAAUGAUUAUGUGCCUUUGAAAUCCCUUCCUCGAUGCGCCCGUCGCCCUUUCGCCAUCAUAGUCGCCAUAGCCAUCGCUUGCGCAGCAGCCCAUCGGCAUUGACGUCGUUGUCUCCUUCCUCAAGAGAGGACCCUCUUCGUCAAGUACCCAGUCGGCCCAGGUUGCAGUUCUAAUCAGCUUCAAUUAGAGUACCCAGAUAAUUGGUGAAUAAGCUGGUUGGGCAAUUUGCAAAGUUGAUGGAUAGCUAUGUUGUU